rnacentral:rRNA from 1 species
AGGACGAACGCUGGCGGCGUGCUUAACACAUGCAAGUCGAGCGAGGCCCUUCCUUCGGGAAGGUGUCCUAGCGGCGAACGGGUGAGUAACACGUGGGCAACCUGCCCUCAGCUCUGGGAUAACUCCGGGAAACCGGGGCUAAUACCGGAUACGACCUCUAAGGGCAUCCGAAGAGGUGGAAAGUUUUUCGGCUGAGGAUGGGCCCGCGGCCUAUCAGCUUGUUGGUGGGGUGACGGCCUACCAAGGCGACGACGGGUAGCCGGCCUGAGAGGGUGACCGGCCACACUGGGACUGAGACACGGCCCAGACUCCUACGGGAGGCAGCAGUGGGGAAUAUUGCGCAAUGGGCGAAAGCCUGACGCAGCGACGCCGCGUGAGGGACGAAGGCCUUCGGGUUGUAAACCUCUUUCAGCAGGGACGAAGCGAAAGUGACGGUACCUGCAGAAGAAGCACCGGCCAACUACGCGCCAGCAGCCGC